GAUGAACGCUAGCGGCAGGCUUAAUACAUGCAAGUUGAGGGGCAGCAUGAUAUACGCGAGUAUAUUGAUGGCGACCGGCGGACGGGUGAGUAAUAGGUAGGAGACCUACCUCAUACAGGGGGAUAGCAUAGAGAAAUCUGUGGUAAUACCCCAUGAGGUUAUAUGAAUAGAGGCAUAUAAUCAAAGCAUAAGCGAUUAUGCGGUAUGAGAGGGGCCUACUGACCAUUAGCUAGUUGGUGAGGUAAGGGCUCACCAAGGCGAAGAUGGUUAGGGGUUUGAGAGAGAGACCCCCCACAUUGGAACUGAGAGACGGUCCAGACUCCUACGGGAGGCAGCAGUAGGGAAUAUUGGGCAAUGGGCGAAAGCCUGACUCAGCCAUGCCGCGUGAAGGAAGACGGCCUUAUGGGUUGUAAACUUCUUUACUACGCGAAUAGAGGUUAGUACGAGAUACUAAUAGGAAGGUAGUGUAGUAAAAAGCAACCGGUAACUCCGU
rnacentral:rRNA from 1 species